UACUAAUGCCAUAACCAAAGAAACACAAACUCCAAAAUGAAUUUAAACGCCAAUUUUUCAAAAAAUAAAUUAAAUGAUUUUUUAUAUCCUCCACAUCUAUAAAUAGAUAACUCGAUGCGAGUUAUUUAAUUAAGAUUGUAAUAGAUUUAGCUUCUUAAAAAAAGAAGAAGAUUAUAAUAGAUUUAGGUGAAGAUUGUUGUAAGUGGUAAUUAUGAAUAAGGCACGUUUUGGAUUGUUCUUCAUUUUGUUUAUUCUCCUUGCUUGUCAGAUGAUGGUACAAACUGAUGGAUCGGUCUGUGAUCAUCAGGAUUGUUUUUUCAACUGUGUUGCUGAUGGAUGGUUUUUUGGAUUGUGCAAAGGAAUUCCCAAAAGUUGCCACUGCAUGGUGGUGAGAAUUAAAUAGCUCCGCUCAUUUGCAUAUGAGUGUUUAAGUAGAGAUCCUCUGCAUUUUCCAAAAGAAAUAAUGGUCUCAAUUACUAUAAAUUUGACGUAUAAAUGUUCGAUUAUGUCAUAAUUAUUGAAAUGUGUGCAUAACUUUUCUUUAUUCACUCCAAAAGUAUAGUAAUGAAGAUCUCAAUGUUUUUGCAGUUUCACUACACUUUAGCUACUAUAUACUCCUUGGGUUCAGUUUCUCUGAUUCAGGAGUAUAUACCCCUUAUAAUCAUUUGUGUGUCAUGUUUUAUUUUAUUUUAAUCUAAAAUUUCUUCAAGUGGCAUUAA